rnacentral:lncRNA from 1 species
UGGUCUGGAACCGAACCGGCAGUGUUUCUGAGUUAUGCCCUGCAACAUUAGGCUGAGUCUAAGGAUAUCAAGUCAACAAAACAGUCAGAUAAAUGUGCCAGUUAAAAUUCUGGAGAUGUCCUUCUUAGACCUGGCCUUGUCACCAAGCACACAUUCUUGGAGAUUCUACGGGAAUGGCAGCAACGGGAUGCUGGAGGCCGGGGCUCUUAGUACUGCACAGGAGAAAAUGGGUGUGUGAUCUCAGCUCCCAGAAGACCAGAGAUUGAACCCAGGCCACAGAGGUGAAAAUGCUGAAUCCUAACCACUAAACUACCAGGGGAUCCCCAAAUUCAAUGAACUGACCCAUUUGAUCAAUGCAACGACCAAUUAUAUUUUGUGGUGAGUGAUUUUCUUAUCUUUGGCCCUGGCUAUUUCUAUCAUUGCUUAGUAUUUGAGUAUUUUUUAAUUACUUUGGAUUGAGAAUUAUUCCCAAGUGCUAAAAUCACUAGAUAUCCACUAACAAUUUUCAUGUAAGGUAUGACUAUCAUGGUUUUCCUUAAGUAAGUAAGUAUAUUUAAUAGUUCUCCAAAACCAAAGAAUGAUUUAUUUCUGACUGAAAAUAAGUAACAUAAAAUGAGCUUACUACCGAUAAAACUAUCACUAGGCCGUUCCCUUCUGUCACUGGUCAAUGGGAGAAAAAGAUGCGAGGCAGAGACAAGUUAGUCAUAGGAACCCAUUGUGGAUUUAAAAAAAAAAUGCCUUUUGUUGUUGUUGUGUUUUUUUAAGGGCUGUGGACUUGGCAUAUGGAAGUUCCCAGGCUAGGGGUUGAACUGGAGCUGCAGCUUCCAGCCUAUGCCACAGCCACAGCAAUGCCAGAUCUGAGCUGAAUCUAUGACCUAUACCACAGCUCAUGGCAGUUCUGGAUCCUUAACCCACUGAACGAGGCCAGGGAUCGAACCCAUGUCCUCAUGGGACCUCCUAAAUGCAUUUUAAAAAAAACUUCUUGGUGUUCCCGUCGUGGCUCGGUGGUUAACAAAUCUGACUGGGAACCAUGAGGUGGUGGGUUCGAUCCCUGGCCUUGCUCAGUGGGUUGAGGAUCCGGCAUUGCCAUGAGCUGCUACAGCUCCGAUUCGGCCCCUAGCCUGGUAUCCUCCAUAUGCCUCGGGUACAGCCCUAGAAAAGACAAAAAGAUGAAAUAAAUAAAAUUUUAAAAUAAAUAAAAAAAACCUU